rnacentral:tmRNA from 1 species
GGGGGCGAAACGGCUUCGACGGGGAUAAAGAAGCUGUGGUUGCAUGCCGAGUCCCAUCGUCUCGUAAAAAGGUGGAUUUUAAACAUAAUCGCAGACGAUUAUAAUUACGCCUUGGCCGCGUAGUAGGCCAACGUCCAUCCAGAUCCUGCCUGCAGACCUGGAAUGGGCGUCGAUUCGCAGGCUGGCUGAUCGAGGACGCCUGUUUCUUGAUCGGUAAGACUAUUACAGGAUAGCCUUUCAAGCAUCCUGCCUGAGGGAGACUUGAAAAGGCGAAUUCCAAAUUUCAGGAUAAGCAUGUAGAUACCAUUGUGGAAUAUUUUCGGACGCGGGUUCGACUCCCGCCGCCUCCACCA